UAGACAAGUAUUUUGAGAACUAUUGCUAGGAAUCUUGCAUAAGCGAUUGUCCUAUUUGCUAUUUGCUUAAAUAGCAGCGUCUACACGCAAGAAAAAAAACAUAAUAACUGAAACUAGAUAGCCUUCACAACUGCAUGUCCUGUCAUAGAUAGGAUGCAAAGAAUAUCAUGAAUCUAGUAAUUCUAAGGGGAAUGAAGAAUGCAAGUAAUUAUCUGUUUGUGUCCACCACCACCGUACCUUUUUGUCUUCUGGGCUCAGGAGCUUUAAAUAGCCUCUCUUUGUUGGAAUCAUUCCAUCACCGGUCUUCACCUUUGUGUUUGUCAGAACAAUCUUGCUACCACUUUCUCCAUCCAUCUUGGUGUUCUUAGACACCACGUUGCUGUCACUAGUACUGCUAACCAACUUGUUGUUCAAUUGUGGUAGGAUCUUUAAAAGGC
rnacentral:lncRNA from 1 species